UCGAAUCAUUCACAAUGGGCGAAAGCCUGAUGGUGCGACGCCGCGUGAGGGAUGAAGGUCUUCGGAUUGUAAACCUCUGUCACCGGGGAAGAAACGCUUCAAGUUAAUAGCUUGAAGCCUGACUUAACCCGGAGAGGAAGCAGUGGCUAACUCUGUGCCAGCAACCGCGGUAAUACAGAGACUGCGAGCGUUAUUCGGAUUCACUGGGCGUAAAGGGUGCGCAGGCGGCCAAGUGUGCUAGGCGUGAAAGCCCAAGGCUUAACCUUGGAAUUGCACCUAAAACUACUUGGCUAGAGUACUGGAGAGGGAAACGGAAUUCAUGGUGUAGCAGUGAAAUGCGUAGAUAUCAUGAGGAACACCAGAGGCGAAGGCGGUUUCCUGGACAGUUACUGACGCUCAGGCACGAAAGCGUGGGGAGCAAAA
rnacentral:rRNA from 1 species